CCGCCCGUCACGUGGAACUUCGAGGGCCUGCCGCUGGACCCCCGCGGGUACGAGUCCCGGGUCGAGCAGAACGAGUACAACGUGACGGUCCACGAGCUGGUCAUCCCCGUGGGGAGGUCUCACCACUCGGGCUCCUACGAGUGCGUGACGGCCUUCGGGAGCGCCACCAUCUACGUCGACCUCUUCGUCCCUCCUUCCCUGGGGGAGCCGCUGCCGUCGGAGGUGGAGGUGGAGGAGGGUCGACCGCUGGAAGUGUCGUGUACCGCUGUUGGGCGUCCUCUUCCCUCCGUGCAGUGGGAGAAGCUGGUUGACGACACGUGGGUGCCGGCGACCGAGCUGGAGGGCGUGACGCGAGGACGACGGCUCCUGAGGAUCGAGGCGCGAGACUCGACCACGCCGGAGACUUCCGCUGGCCGCCAGGAGCGAGCCGGUCCUUCCUCGCCG